ACUACUGCAAUGGCAAUUGCUCGAACACCUCAUCUCACUCUCUACAGCAUCAUAGAAACAACAGCACUCCUCCAAGAACCCAAGCAGGCAGCCACCUUACAUCUUCUCCUCGAACGGCUAAUUUGUUCAGAAGAGAGCUACCGGGCAGGGCAGGUAGAUGCUAGCAAUGGACCAGCACCAUCAGAAGGAGUCUUGUGUACCCCCCGGGUUCAGGUUCCACCCGACCGAGGAGGAGCUGGUGGGGUACUAUCUAGCCAGGAAGGUGGCCGCCCAGAAGAUCGACCACGACAUCAUCCAGGAGGUCGAUCUCUACCGGAUUGAGCCAUGGGACCUGCCAGAGUGGUGCAGCGGCGGCAGGGGUGGAGCUGGAGCACGGCCGGGUCAGGAGGACCAGUCAUCGUCGGAGUGGUACUUCUUCAGCUUCAAGGACCGCAAGUACCCCAGCGGAACACGGACCAACCGCGCCACGAUGGCCGGGUUCCGGAAAGCCACCGGGAGGGACAAGCUUGUUACGUCGUCGUGGAGCCGGGGCGUCAUCGGCAUGAGGAAGACGCUCGUCUUCUACAGAGGCCGUGCUCCCAACGGCCGCAAGACCGACUGGAUCAUCCACGAGUACCGCCUGCAGAUCAUCGAGCACGCCCCCACCCAGGAGGAAGGUUGGGUGGUGUGCCGGGCGUUCCAGAAGUCAACCCCGAACCAGAGGCCGUCCUACAUGAUCCCAGCAUAUGCCGCCGCUCCGGGCCUCGGGGGCCACUACGACGUGCGGCCCUGGCGGCACGGCCAAGGCGGCGACCUCCGCUACCUACAGAGCGCCGCUUCCACUGUCGGAGUUGGUGGCCUCGGCUUCCACGGCCAGGGUUUCCAGUACUCCUCCGAGGACACGCUGGAGUGCAAGAAGGGCAUCUUCAACAACAUCCCACAGCUCAUCGAGAGCCCGCCGCCAAUGACCGCCUUUGCUGGUUGCAGCGAAGCUGGAUACGACGUAGUCCAGCCGGAAUUGGCAGCGGCCGGCAUCGACUGGAACUUCCUGGACAGCUUGUUGUCAACGCCGCUGCUCCACGACUCCUCCGCAGCAAGUGCCGCCUCAAACCUUCAGCUUCCCCUACACCAAUCUUUGAAAAUUUAUGAGCGGCAUAAUUCACAGAAUGUUUAAGGCAGGUAACAUUAAAAUCCUUCAACGUACGGAGCAGCGCUUUGAUCUCCAGCUGCCGAGUAGUUCCUCCCGGAUUCAGGAACUCCUGUUCAAGCUCCACUGCAAGUUUAUAGAAGGAAGUUUGAGGCCUCAAUGUUGAUACGGCGUUGAAGAGUCCAAUGUUUCUUCAAUCUUUCUUGUUAUCCGAAACUUUUCUGGUCAUGCCUUUUCCAAAAGUAGCUUUUAGUCGUGCAUGCUUUUGUACCCUUAACAAUGUUUGAUCAACACUGUAUUAUUUAGUACAAAUUAGCUACAUAUUGUUGUA